rnacentral:rRNA from 1 species
UACGGGGGGAGCAAGCGUUGUUCGGAUUUACUGGGCGUAAAGGGCGCGUAGGCGGCACUGCAAGUCAGUUGUGAAAUCUCCGGGCUUAACCCGGAAAGGUCAACUGAUACUGCAGGGCUAGAGUGCAGAAGGGGCAACUGGAAUUCUCGGUGUAGCGGUGAAAUGCGUAGAUAUCGAGAGGAACACCUGCGGCGAAGGCGGGUUGCUGGGCUGACACUGACGCUGAUGUGCGAAAGCCAGGGGAGCGAACGGG